GAAAAUCCUUAUAUGCUGUCCCAUAAAUGUGAUGCCAUGCCUCUACCUCUGCCUUCCACAUCCAGCUAAAACCAGUUUCUUCAACGCACCCUGUGAUCUUCAUAGAGUCCGCCGAUAUUUAUGGCGAGCUAACAAGACAAUCUGAUAAAAGCAGGAAAGCCGUCCAUAUGAAGGGUUGCCACAGCGGAACGAACCACCCUCUUAUCCAGCAUGUUUUACAUGCCCUUUCAGCCGCAACCCAGUACUGGGAAACACUCUCCUUCACACUCAUGGCCAAUUUAAAUCACCUAUAUUGCAUGUCUUUGACUAUGGAGCACCUGGAGGAAACCCACGCCAACACGAGGAGAACAUGCAAACUCUUCAACUGGUCCAGCCGGGACUCGAACCAGCGACCUUCCUGCUGUGAUGUGACAGUUCUAACCACUAAGGCACUGUACCACCCUCUUUUUUUUAAUGUCCAGUUAAUUGAUUUUAGAAACAUGCAAAUUCAGUCUUCUUCUAUAUGAAUGUGUGUCAGUAUUUAUUUUUGUAUUCAUUCAUUUUCUUUUUGGCUUAGUUCCUUCAUUAUUCAGGGGACGCCACAGCGGGAUGAACCGCCAACAUAUCCGACAUAUGUAUUACACAGCGGAUGCCCUUCCAGCUGCAACUCAUCACUGGGAAAUUAUUUGUUUGUUUAUUUAUUUAUUACAAUUUCAAAGAUUAGAAAUAUUUACAUGAAUCUGUCUAAAAAAUAAUUAAAUACUAAUUAAAUAUAGAUUACUUUAA